rnacentral:misc_RNA from 1 species
UCGUCUCUUCGCCGCCGCGUCCGCCAGGCCUCCAACGAAGACCCACCAUAUCCCACAUUCUUGUCGCACCGCCUUGUUGUUUGCUGUCGUCGCAGCACUUCUGCGAUCAUGCGCCGCGCCAUAUCGUCCACUCUCACCCGUGGCGCCCGCACUCUUGGCGUCAAGUCGGGGCUGUUUCAGCUCACGCAGUACCGCUUCCAGUGGCAGCCGCUGCCCGGUGUGCCGCCGCAACUGAGGGUGGCUCUGCAUGACCGGCAUCAAGACACGAAUGCCGCUCCUGCGGGAUCGAAGCGCAGCGACGACGCGCAGCCAGAGUUCGAGCCCCCAAAGAAGCCGACAGGGGUGCCCAAGCUUCUGAGAAUCAACACAAAUGAGAAGGGCAUCACAAACGUGCAGCUGGCCCGUGCCCCGGUGAACUCGAUGAGCCUGGAGCUCUUCCAGGAGCUGAACCAGUGGAUGCUGUGGCUUGGAAACAACGAGGAGACGAAGGCUGUGAUCAUCUCCUCUGCGAUUCCGACAGUCUUCUCGGCUGGACUGGAGUUCUCCGAAGUGCAUAACCCGAAGCCGGAUCGCAUCGCGGUCUUCUGGCAGAGCUUCCAGGAGAUGUGGCGCAUCCUGAACACCUUCCCCAAGCCAAUCAUCGCGGCCAUCACCGGCAACUCACCGGCGGCGGGCUGUAUCAUCGCGAUGGGCUGCGACUACCGUGUGAUGGCUCGCGGGCCGAAGGACAACACGAACAACAACCGGCUCUACCACAUCGGUCUUAACGAGUCCAAGUUGGGACUCGUCGCGCCGCCUUGGACUGUAUCAGCCUAUGCCUACCUGCUGGGCUCGCGCCAGGCGGAGCGGAUGCUGCAGCUGGGCGAGACACCCGUGGCCGACGAUGCGCGAAACCUCGGGCUCAUUGAUGAGGUGGCCGCCGAUGAAGAAAGCACAAUCGAAGCGGCCUACCAGCAGGCGGAACGCUUUCUCAGCGUGCCGCAGCAGGCGCGUCGGGUGGCUCGUGAUAUGGUGCGCUGCGAAUACUUGCGGUUGCUUGCCACCGAGGACGACCGCAACUACGAUACAGAGUUUUUCACACAAUAUAUGCUGCGACCUGAGGUGCAGAAGAACCUUGAAAGCUACCUGGAACGCCUCAAGAGCCGCUCUCGUAAGUAACGCCGAGUGAUUCUAGCGCGAAUCCGGCACAUCGGCGUGUUAUUUCUCUUGCGUGAAUUCUGCAAUCUGACGUCUACAUGCCCCUCAUGAGGAGAGGCUCUGAGUUCUUUGUGCGCACGCGCUGUCAAGCACCGCCGGCACGGCGCCUCGCAUCCGAAGAAAGCAUGCAGAGGCGCGAAGAGACGCAUGCGAGCGAGCCGCCGUGUGCAUGUGCGCAGAUCAUGCGGAACGUCCCCCACCCGGCCGUGUGGGCUGCUGAGGCACAGAUGCCCGGGGGGGGCAUGACGCGAGCACCCCGAAUGGCAGCAUCGAGUCGUCCGGGCACCCAUGUGGCGAGUCUCCACACCGUACUAUGGCAUGCCGCUGCUUGAGGCGACGGAGGGCGCGAGGGAGGGCGCACAGGCGGAGCACAGGGCCUCCAGGGGGCCCUGGCCUGCGGCUGCCCAACUGAUUCCGUGAGCCCGUGCGGCAUGCACCUGGGCCACCACCACCCCUCUACUACGCGCACGGCGGACGCCGGUGCCUCCGCCCUUGAGCAGGGCCCUGGACGCUGCCCGCGUUGGGUCCAGGCGCGCAGUGCACCCAGGUCGGUCUGGUGCCGGUGGCGCAGCACGCGUGCGAGGGAGGCGCGAGGAAGGACAAGAAGAGACCGUGAGACGCAUGUCCCCGCUUCGGCGGCAGCCGUCUCGCCCUAGAGGGCCAAGAUGCCGCCGUGGUGCAGCGGAGGCGUCUGCGUUGUGAUAGCGUGUAUGCGUGCAUAUCUGUCGACGUGCUCGGUGUGCAGUGGAGUGCGUGGCCGCGAAGCAAAUCAAUCAAAAAGAAAAUGCCUUUAUCUGCUUUCUCCCUAUUCCGCUUUUUUUUCCGCAUGGUGAGUCAGCUCACCUCCCCCCCCCUCCCCACCACCAGCUUCUUCUCUCCUAAGUGACUGAUGGCACGCAAAACGCUCUUCUGGUGACGCUGCCGUACAUACUCCCUUCGCCCUCUUUUAUGCUUUAUCGCGUUUUCCUUUUCUCUUGGGCUCGUGUCUUUUUCGUUCGUGUGGGGGUUUCGUUGCUCCCACGUGUUACCUGAGUAGGCUCGUGGAUUCUGUCCACGCGUGUCGUUUGGGAGCUGGCACCGCUGCUGUCGUCGUGCUAGCAGAGGAAGAGCCUGUGUGAUGCUUCUGCGAAUCCCUCGAGUCCUGUGUGGCUGCGGUGGCGGCCGCUUACAGUACAUCUGAUAUACGUGCGUGUGGUGCGCCUGAGUCGAUGUCACUCGGAAGCCUCUUCGGAUUCGGACAUCGGGCGCUACGACGCGUCCAACUCGUCUCUUGAUUGCUCUCGUCAACGCGAAAGCGAAAAGGGUGCUCUCAUCCAUCCGCGGGUAUCGCGGCAGCGUCUUUUUUUCUGUCCUCAUGUUUUGGUUUUGCUGCUCUGCUUGUGUGUGCGCGUGCUUUUAGCCUUGGUGUUGAGGGAGGGACCUGGAAGAUGAUAUCUUCGUCCUCCUUGCGACCCACGACACCGUCACUUCGGCCCCUCUCGUGAUGGGAGUCUCCGCCGUCGAGGCACAGCAAGCGUCAGAGUCGUUUUUCGAGAGCGGAUCUGUGCGGGUGAGUAUUCCCCUUUGCCUAUAGUGUACGUUUCUUGCUCCUAAAGAAGGUCGAGGAGCUGCCUUACGCGCGCACGUGUGCGCAGGCGUUUUUGUUGUUGUUUUCGCGUACUACCUCGACUGGCGGCAGCGCUGAUGGCGAAGUUUGUGGGGCUCAGCACGCAACAACGCAAAAUGGACGGGCGACACACAAAUGCCGUGAGCCGCAGCUUGAGGGCACGGGUGUCGGAGCCGGUGGCCACGACUCGGCAAAGCUGCCCGUCUCCCUCUCUCUCUCUGUCAAGCUCACACGACGGACGGCUGCAGCUCAUCUGCGCGCCCAUUUCACAACGCACCGCCACGCCGCAAUCACAGACACACAGAGGGAGAGAGAACGCAAGUCCUCCGCUGGGAAACGCACGAAAACAAGACCGCUGAAGGCGGAGCCAUGGCGGUGUAGCAGCGCUUGUAGUACCGCGAUCUCGCCCGAUUGCCUGCAUGUCUUCGGUCCUCUUGUCGUUUUCUUGCUUGCAAGCCUUUUUUUUUGUUGUUCGCCUUCGUAGUUUACAGCAUAUCUGCGAAUUCAUGCGCAUAACCGCUUCCCCUCCCUCUUCCCUCUUUCUCUCUCUAUUUGUGCAUGCGUGUGCUUCCUUUCCGUUCUCAUAUAUGAACUUGCUUUCUUUGGUGGUGCUUAGUGGCGUGUGUGGGAGGGGGGAUCUCCUCUCGUUUCGACGUCCCAGGCCUCUCUCCCUUCUGUUUUUAUAGUUGUGCGGCCCACACAACAU